AAUGGCAUCUAUAUUCUCUACACCUCCCUUUCCUCAAACACAGACAGAACUAAUCAAGUUAACUUCCUAAGGAAAACAAACACAGGGCAGGCUUGAAUUCUCUGUCUGAAACAAUUUCUUAACUCCCGUGAUUGUGAAAGCAGUGGCAUCCAGGCAGUUGGAACUCCAGGCAAAGCAAGAUUAGUAAAGACCAAUGAACACGAUACCUGUGGUAUCAAGAGGAAGAGGUGUGUUUUGUUUCCAGCUGCAGAUUUGAUGGCAGAAGAAAACACA